rnacentral:rRNA from 1 species
AUACGUAGGUGGGCAAGCGUUGUCCGGAAUUAUUGGGCGUAAAGGGCGUGUAGGUGGAUUUUUAAGUCGUGUGUCUAAGAGCGGGGCUCAACCCCGUAUAGGCGCAGGAAACUGGAGACCUUGAGUGCAGGAGAGGAAAGUGGAAUUCCCAGUGUAGCGGUGAAAUGCGUAGAUAUUGGGAGGAACACCAGUGGCGAAGGCGACUUUCUGGACUGUGUCUGACACUGAGGCGCGAAAGCCAGGGGAGC